rnacentral:rRNA from 1 species
UACGUAGGGUGCGAGCGUUGUCCGGAAUUAUUGGGCGUAAAGGGCUCGUAGGCGGUUUGUCGCGUCGGGAGUGAAAACUCAGGGCUUAACCCUGAGCCUGCUUCCGAUACGGGCAGACUAGAGGUAUGCAGGGGAGAACGGAAUUCCUGGUGUAGCGGUGAAAUGCGCAGAUAUCAGGAGGAACACCGGUGGCGAAGGCGGCUCUCUGGACCUAUCCUGACGCUCAGGCGCGAAAGCUAGGGGAGCGAACAGG